GAUUCCAUUCCAUCUAAACGAUCUCUCUCCGGGGCCACGUGACCCGACCCAGUCGCAGCGCGCGAUUGCCCACGUUGCUGCUUCCCUUUCGCCACCGCCAGUCUACCUGCUCUCCCUUCGAUUCUUGGAUCAAAAGCAUUUGGAAUGGCGGAUUCAUCUGCACUCUGGGAAUCCGUCCCCUUCGAUUCUCGAAGGUGGCCGCGUCGGGGGCGAUCCCUAUGGGCCUUUACUCCUGGGAAUCCUUCCCCUUCUCCGAAGUGGGUUCCUGAAGAUAGAAUCACCCUUUUCACUUCUGAAGAGCUUAUUCAGAUAGGAGGAUCCUUCGUUCCUCAUCGAAUUCCUUUUAUGAAAGUUGUCGCGGCAGAGAAAGUGAGCAGCGGAGGGUUGCAGAAGAAGCUCGUUAUGACCAUCGCAGUGCCACUGCUUUGGGGCGUUCCACCUGCCUCUGGGACCCUCUGCGUUGCAGUUCGUAGUGGGGUUGGUAGGUAUUGUAGAAAAGAUAUAUCGGCGGUGGAACUUUUUUGUAAAUUACAAACAGUGUAUCGCGAGCAUCAGCAAAGUACAGGAGAUGUUAUGUACAAAUGACUCAAAAUAGGUCUCGGUAAGUUAUCCCAUUGUAUAUAUAAUCUUUUAUUUUUAGUUUUCAUCAGAGGAGAUUUCAAACCCUUUAAAAUAAGAAAAGCGACUUAAGUACAUUUGCAUCAUACUAGUGUUUUAGAUUUUUUUUUUUUAUUUGUUGUUCAAAGUAAUUCGAUCAUUUGGUAGAAGUUGGUAAAAAUAGGAAAACUAAAUCGAGAUUUAGUCUUGCAUUUUUUAUUUACUUUGGCAUUUC